UACGUAGGGUGCAAGCGUUAAUCGGAAUUACUGGGCGUAAAGCGUGCGCAGGCGGUUGUGUAAGACAGAUGUGAAAUCCCCGGGCUCAACCUGGGAACUGCAUUUGUGACUGCACAGCUGGAGUGCGGCAGAGGGGAUGGAAUUCCGCGUGUAGCAGUGAAAUGCGUAGAUAUGCGGAGGAACACCGAUGGCGAAGGCAAUCCCCUGGGCCUGCACUGACGCUCAUGCACGAAAGCGUGGGAGCAAACAGG
rnacentral:rRNA from 1 species